AAGAUUCCUCUCUUUAGAAAGUAAACAAUGAAUCUGUCACCAAGUUCUAACUUUAAAAUGGGGACAUUUUACCUUUCUUUCUUUGGAUAGGAUCAGUUCUUAAGAGCAGCCCCGGUAACUGGAGGAAUGGGAGCCGUUUUGAUGAGAAAAAUGGGCUGGAGAGAAGGAGAAGGAUUAGGAAAAAACAAAGAAGGCAAUAAGGAACCCAUCCUAGUUGAUUUUAAGACAGACCGAAAAGGUCUUGUUGCAGUAGGAGAAAGAGCACAAAAGAGGUCUGGGAACUUCUCUGCUGCAAUGAAAGAUCUGUCAGGCAAACAUCCUGUGUCUGCUUUGAUGGAAAUCUGUAAUAAGAGAAGGUGGCAACCACCUGAAUUUCUAUUGGUCCAUGAUAGUGGCCCUGAUCAUCGCAAACAUUUUCUCUUUAGGGUAUUGAUAAAUGGAAGCGCUUACCAGCCCAGCUUUGCCAGCCCUAAUAAGAAGCAUGCUAAAGCCACAGCAGCUACUGUGGUUCUUCAAGCAAUGGGCCUUGUACCAAAGGACCUCAUGGCUAAUGCCACUUGCUUCAGGAGUGCCUCACGUAGAUAGAUUGAGGUUUUAUAAUAAUCAUUUCAGAUAAUUUUACUCUGCAUCACAAUGUAUUUCCUCUUUAAUGUUGUAAAUAUUUGGCAAUUUAAGACAUUGUGUAAAAAGCAAUCUGUAAAAACAUCUCCAGGCUUUGAUUUUUGUACCAUGGAAAUUGUAUUUAACCAUACAGGGUUUUGGUAUGUUUAUAUUGUUUACCUUAGUGAUGUAUUUGUUUAAGUGGCUAACAUCCAAACGACUGUUUGAAGGCAUCAGAGUAAUCUUCAGUGUGGAAUGUUAAAUAACGCUUUUAUACUGUAUUUUGUACUAUGAUGUAACUCCCCUUCCUUAUGGCUAGGCUACUGUAACACUUGCCUGUAAUCAGUGAAGGGCUGUGCACCUUGUACUAUUUUCACAAUGGGUUCUGCUGGAC
rnacentral:sRNA from 1 species